rnacentral:lncRNA from 1 species
UAGAAGUAGAAUUCAUAUAAAAAUUGUAUAUUUUCAUAAAUUUUACCAAACUGCGUUUCAGAUAUAUUGUACAACUUAUCCUGCUAAUGGCAAGUGAAAGUGUCCACUUCCCCGCAACCUUGAUGUCCUUAGUGAAUUCCUCAUGUAAAUUUAGCAGGUUCGCUGACUUGCCUCAUGCCCUCCCCAGCACUGAUGUGGACUGACUUUCAUGAACAAUCAUCAACAACCUCUUUUGGGCAAACAGGUGAAAUAAAAAGAAAUGUGAAGAUGAAAAGAGCGGGCAAGCAAGAGUCGGGGUAGCAAAUCAGCUCUUGGCAUCCUAGGGCUGGAGGCCUGAGAAGCCACAGGAAGCAGGAGGCGAUCUGGAGCCGUACAUCUUCUGGGUAGUGCUUGUUGAAGCUUGCAGGAGGGCUGCAGAUGCCUACAAGUGCCUGCGCAAGACUGCUGAAACUGGCCUCAAACACACCAGGUCCAGCUGGUGCAUCUGCUCUUGGCAUCAAGGUUGCAGGUACCUUGUCCUGAACCUGUCCCAUUCUUCCGACUUGGAUUUACUUUUCCGUGGCAGCCUCCCUUACCCCAAUCU